UACGGGGGGGGAGCAGUCGUUGUUCGGAAUUUACUGGGCGUAAAGAGUGUGUAGGCGGUGUUCCCAGUCUGUUGUGAAAUCUCCCGGCUUAACUGGGAGGGUGCAGCGGAAACUAGAAUGCUAGAGGGUGGGAGAGGUAAGCGGAAUUCCUGGUGUAGCGGUGAAAUGCGUAGAUAUCAGGAGGAACACCUGUGGUGUAGACAGCUUACUGGACCACUUCUGACGCUGAGACACGAAAGCGUGGGUAGCAAACAGG
rnacentral:rRNA from 1 species